rnacentral:rRNA from 1 species
GACGAACGCUGGCGGCGUGCCUAAUACAUGCAAGUCGAGCGAAGUCUUUCUGGUGCUUGCACUAGAAAAACUUAGCGGCGAACGGGUGAGUAACACGUAAAGAACCUGCCUCAUAGACUGGGACAAGUAUUGGAAACGAUAGCUAAUACCGGAUAACAGUAUUUCUCGCAUGAGAGAUAUUUAAAAGUUGGUUGUGCUAACACUAUGAGAUGGCUUUGCGGUGCAUUAGCUAGUUGGUGGGGUAAAGGCCCACCAAGGCGACGAUGCAUAGCCGACCUGAGAGGGUGAUCGGCCACACUGGGACUGAGACACGGCCCAGACUCCUACGGGAGGCAGCAGUAGGGAAUCUUACGCAAAGGGCGAAAGCCUGACGGAGCAACGCCGAGUGAGUGAAGAAAGAUUUCGGUUCGUAAAGCUCUGUUGUUAGGGAAGAAUGGAUAUGUAGUAACUAUACAUGUAAGAGACGGUACCUAACCAGAAAGCCACGGCUAACUACGUG